GAGAUGAGCCUGCUGACGAAGAGAACGAUAACUAUAAUAAUAAUGCAAAGUACUGGCUCAAAUGCAAUGUUGCCCCAUUGAAUAUAGUCAAGGAACAUUGGGAACACACCUUCUCAGAAAGAAAAUUGUCGAUUCAAACUGGAAGCAAGAACUUAAACGCAAUUCUUGAAGAAUGGCCAAUUUUAAGACAGAGUUUUGGACAUGAAUUGAUAAGUCGAGAUUUUGAGCUUAAGUAUCCAGAGACUAUCAUCGAUUUGGAAACUCAAUGGUCAACAUUUCGAUCAAAGUUCCUGCAACUAUCGCAAGAAAGAGUGAAGGAAAAUUACAGCCUGGAAAUACUGAAGAAAUUAAAAACGGAUUCAGCAGACGACGAUCAACUUAAUAUUGCAACCAUUACAAUUUUACAUGCCAUCUUGAAACCAACGGCUCGUAAAGUGGUUAAGAAGGGAAACAA